AUUCCAUUUGGGUUGCUCUCGGCUCCAGGAGAUGACUUCUUCAGGUCCAUAUCACUGAGGCUGUGAGUCUCAGCUAAGGAAACACCCAUGAUUCAUUGGCAUCUCUUACCCCAGCUCUCUGCCUCUUUCUGGAUGUGACCUCUACCUCCCCACCCCAUCCAUCUAGACUGCUGUGUCUGGCCUCAGUAGCAGAGGAUGUGAUCACAGAGACUGGAUAUGCAAGAGAACCCGGGGCCGAUCCCCAGCUCCCAAGUGACAGCUCACAAGUGGCAGUAAUUUCCGCAUUACGGAAUCUAACACCCUCUUCAACCUCCUGGACACUAGGCAUGGAUGUGCUGCACACGUGAACAAGCAGACUUAAAGGGAAGGCACAUCUCGAUGUCUGCACAGUAACGAGGUCAUCAGAGAAGAUUUUUAAGAUGUGUACAGUGAGCCAUGAAGGUGAAGAAGGAUCAAGCAAACAACACCAGACCCCUUCAUGCCACAACCUUCAAUAUGACAGCUGGUAUCUGUAACUUAAUAAUUACUGUCUCUUUAUAGAAUACGUUUUCUUAGCAGGAAUAUUACUGUGUAGGCUUUAAAUGUGUGUUUUCUUAAUAUUGUUCAUGAUAUUCUAUCAAUCAGACUAUUGAUUUAAAUAAAG
ensembl:lncRNA